GAUGAACGCUAGCGGCAGGCUUAAUACAUGCAAGUCGAGGGGCAGCACAGAGUAGCAAUACCUGGGUGGCGACCGGCAAACGGGUGCGGAACACGUACAGAACCUACCUUCGAGCGGGGGAUAGCCCAGAGAAAUUUGGAUUAAUACCCCAUAGCAUAAUGGCGUGGCAUCACUUUGUUAUUAAAGAUUUAUCACUUGAAGGAGGCUGUGCGUAGGAUUAGGUAGUUGGCGGGGUAACGGCCCACCAAGCCUACGAUCAUUAACUGGUGUGAGAGCACGACCAGUCACACGGGCACUGAGACACGGGCCCGACUCCUACGGGAGGCAGCAGUAAGGAAUAUUGGUCAAUGGACGCAAGUCUGAACCAGCCAUGCCGCGUGGAGGAUGAAGGUCCUCUGGAUUGUAAACUUCUUUUAUCUGGGACGAAAAAAGGGAAUUCUUUCUCGUCUGACGGUACCAGAUGAAUAAGCACCGGCUAACUCCGUGCCAGCCGCCGCCGUAACAC
rnacentral:rRNA from 1 species